CGAAAGUUCAAGGGGGCCGAAUACUUUCGCAAGGCACUGUAUUCCCUAUUUAGUGCACUACUGUUGACCAUGGACCAUAGUCCAAAGUAGUGCACUACAUUGGAGUUAGGGUGUAGUUUGGGAUGCAGUCCUGAUGUUGUACAGUAUUCUAAUGGGUAGAGUGCCAUGUUUCUCCUCACCGCAGUGCCUAACUUGAGUCCUGAGGACACACACGGAAACAGUACUGUAACCAUGGGCAAUAACUUUCAGGAGACUCAACCUGGGUCAGUGUUAGGACAGAGUGUCCCCCCCCCCCCCCCCCAUACCAUGUGACUUGAUCAGGAAAUACUCUGGCCCCGUUGUUAUUGGCUAUUACUAGGGCCUGUUGUUAUUGGCUAUUACUAGGGCCUGUUGUAUUGAUUUAUUUUAGCACGUUACAAAAUACAAUACAAAUUCAACAAUUUACAAAUACAUUUUCAAGAAAAAAACGAUCACAUUCCUCAGCAAGGUGGUCCCCAUUCAACAUGUUGAACUGCCGAGAGGCCCCAGAACAUCCUGUUGUAGAGAACUCUGUAGGUUGUUCCAUACAUGGACAUCCUGUUGUAGAGAACUCUGUAGGUUGUUCCAUACAUGGAAUGCAAAGAAACUAAAAGCUGAUUGAUUUGACUCUCUGAUCUGAUUAGGUUAGGGAAAACUCCUGUCUCUCCCAUCUCAUUGUGUAGGAGUCUGAACAGUGAAUGCAGGUUCUGUGGUAACACUCGGAGCACUGCGAAAGGACCGCAGGAUACCUCGGCAUGGUAAUAAUGCCUUAAAGCAAUUCUCCGUCAUGAAUCCCAAGGUAUCUAGUCUAGCUAUAACAUCAUAGACCAGGAAGAAACACAAUGUCCUGACCAAUGGGUAAAAGCAGCAGGUGGUCACGUGAUCACCUGCUGGGUGUCGACGAGCGGUGCGAUUCGUUCGAGAAAUGGAACAGAAAAUGAUGAUCUGUUCAGAGGCAAUAGGACGGUCACCCGCUGCUUUUAAUGGUUGGCACAGUGUGUUUAGACCUUAAGGUUUUCGCUACUAGUGAUUUUGGUAGGCAGGCUACUGUUGGUAGCUCCUAUGGGGUCUUGGUGUACCAUAUUGUCAACCUGUGGUUGUUGACAUGGACAUUUUAAAUAAUAAUGUUUGUGUAUUCUUGCUGAU